rnacentral:rRNA from 1 species
CCUACGGGAGGCAGCAGUGAGGAAUAUUGGUCAAUGGCCGAAAGGCUGAACCAGCCAAGUAGCGUGAGGGAAGACUGCCCUAUGGGUUGUAAACCUCUUUUAUGCGGGGAUAAAGGUGGCGACGUGUGGAUGUCUGCAGGUACCGCAUGAAAAAGGAUCGGCUAAUUCCGUGCCAGCAGCCGCGGUAAUACGGAAGGUCCGGGCGUUAUCCGGAUUUAUUGGGUUUAAAGGGUGCGUAGGCGGGUCUUUAAGCGUGCCGUGAAAUUUUGGGGCUCAACCCCGGGAGUGCGGUGCGAACUGGCAGCCUUGAGUGGGCGGAAGGCAGGCGGAAUGCGUGGUGUAGCGGUGAAAUGCUUAGAUAUCGCGAAGAACCCCGAUUGCGAAGGCAGCCUGCCGCAGCGUUACUGACGCUGAGGCUCGAAAGCGCGGGGAUCGAACAGGAUUAGAUACCCUUGUAGUC